GCUUGUCUCAAAGAUUAAGCCAUGCAUGUCUAAGUACAAGCCUCAGUAAGGUGAAACCGCGAAUGGCUCAUUAAAUCACACCUAAUCUACUGGAAAGUUACUAGUUACUUGGAUAACUGAGGUAAUUCUUGAGCUAAUACAUGCGAAAAAUCUCGACUCACGGAGAGAUGCUUUUAUUAGAUCAAAACCAAACGGCUUCGGCCGUCUCAUUGGUGACUCUGGAUAACUUCACGCCGAUCGCACGGCCUUCGCGCCGGCGACGUAUCUUUCAAAUGUCUGCCUUAUCAACUGUCGAUGGUAGGUUACGCGCCUACCAUGGUUGCAACGGGUAACGGGGAAUCGGGGUUCGAUUCCGGAGAGGGAGCCUGAGAAACGGCUACCACAUCCAAGGAAGGCAGCAGG
rnacentral:rRNA from 1 species